UACAGAGGUCUCAAGCGUUGUUCGGAUUCAUUGGGCGUAAAGGGUGCGUAGGCGGCGCGGUAAGUCGGGUGUGAAAUCUUGGAGCUUAACUCCGAAACUGCAUUCGAUACUGCCGUGCUUGAGGACUGGAGAGGAGACUGGAAUUUACGGUGUAGCGGUGAAAUGCGUAGAUAUCGUAAGGAAGACCAGUGGCGAAGGCGGGGUCUCUGGACAGUUCCUGACGCUGAGGCACGAAGGUCAGGGGGAGCAAACGGGG
rnacentral:rRNA from 1 species